AUCUUGGAGAGGAAUACUCUUCGCAAGAGCCAUGCUCAGAAGUCCCCUCCCCUAGGAGUAGAAGAAACAUCAGUCAAGGGGAUACCGAUAGCUCUGUAUUAAAGUCUGAAAAGCUUUAGAGAACCUGGCACUCUACAUCAGGCAACUGUUUCAGGAAGAUAUCUGCCAACCUGUAUCUGGAACCUACAGCUUCUGUGAAAGUGGAGGGACACACAGCUACUGAGCUCCUCAUAAGUUGUGAUCCUGUUACAAAGAUCAGCAGACAUAUAAGCUGGGAAGCGGAACAGAAAGCAUCAACAGAAGACAUGAAAUUAUUAGAACAUCAUCAUCUCUGCGGCAUUUCCUCCAAAUACAUUGAAUCUAAGUCAAUAAUGAAGAACAUUCUGGAAAACAACUUGCUGGUUCUUCAAAGGAAACGAGAUUGGUGAAUCUAGUCACAAGGGAUCCUAGCGUCUUGGACACAGUCCUCACUGGGAGUUAACCCAGUUGGCGUCUUUGAAACAUCAAGAGUCAACAAAACGAUUUGCCUUGAAGUCUGAGCCAGAGCUGGAGCUAAAGAUCAUCAGGCCUGUGU